GGGGGAUAACACCUGGAAACAGGUGCUAAUACCGCAUAACAGAAGGGGACGCAUGUUCCUUUCUUGAAAACUCCGGUGGUACGGGAUGGACCCGCGUCUGAUUAGCUGGUUGGCGGGGUAACGGCCCACCAAGGCGACGAUCAGUAGCCGGCCUGAGAGGGCGGACGGCCACAUUGGGACUGAGACACGGCCCAAACUCCUACGGGAGGCAGCAGUGGGGAAUAUUGCACAAUGGGGGAAACCCUGAUGCAGCGACGCCGCGUGAGUGAAGAAGCGUUUCGGCGCGUAAAGCUCUGUCAGCGGGGAAGAAACACGGUUCGCGAGAGCCGCGGACGGUACCCGACCAAGAAGCCCCGGCUAACUACGUGCCAGCAGCCGCGGUAAUACGUAGGGGGCAAGCGUUAUCCGGAUUCACUGGGUGUAAAGGGAGCGUAGACGGCGAGACAAGUCUGGAGUGAAAGGCCGGGGCCCAACCCCGGGACUGCUCUGGAAACUGCCUGGCUGGAGUACAGGAGAGGUAAGUGGAAUUCCUAGUGUAGCGGUGAAAUGCGUAGAUAUUAGGAGGAACACCAGUGGCGAAGGCGGCUUACUGGACUGUAACUGACGUUGAGGCUCGAAAGCGUGGGGAGCAAACAGGAUUAGAUACCCUGGUAGUCCACGCCGUAAAC
rnacentral:rRNA from 1 species